rnacentral:rRNA from 1 species
UACGUAGGGUGCAAGCGUUGUCCGGAAUUAUUGGGCGUAAAGCGCACGUAGGCGGAUCUUUAAGUCAGGGGUGAAAUCCUGGAGCUCAACUCCAGAACUGCCUUUGAUACUGGGGAUCUCGAGUCCGGAAGAGGUGAGUGGAACUCCGAGUGUAGAGGUGAAAUUCGUAGAUAUUCGGAAGAACACCAGUGGCGAAGGCGGCUCACUGGUCCGGUACUGACGCUGAGGUGCGAAAGCGUGGGGAGCAAACAGG